GACAGAGGGUGCAAACGUUGCUCGGAAUUACUGGGCGUAAAGGGCGUGUAGGCGGCCAAUUAAGUCCGACGUGAAAUCCCCAGGCUUAACCUGGGAACUGCGUCGGAUACUGGAUGGCUUGAGUCCGGGAGAGGGAUGCGGAAUUCCAGGUGUAGCGGUGAAAUGCGUAGAUAUCUGGAGGAACGCCGGUGGCGAAGGCGGCAUCCUGGGCCAAUUCUGACGCUGAGGAGCGAAAGCCAGGGGAGCAAACGGG
rnacentral:rRNA from 1 species